CAAGGCCCAACAAUAGCUUUACACUCAAUUACAUUUAUGGUUUCUGUGAUUCAUCUAAAUGUUUGUGGCUUUGUCACUACCUGGAAGUUAAGAAAAGAAAAAGAAAAAGGAAAAGAAAGCCCCGGAAUGAACAGUUUUCUGCUGCAAGACACUGGGUGACACAACAGAAACUGAGCAACUACCUUUAGUGGAGGCAGCAGUGGCUGGAGGUGAAUGUUUUCCCACCACAGCGCCGUGAGAUAAACAAGGGGCAGCUGAUUCACGCCGCACUUAUUUUCUGCCAUCCACCCUUCGUGUCACCCUGAUAUUUCUUCAAACGAUAAGCCUGCGUGAGCGCUCACGCUGCGCCGCCGAGGUCCGAGUUUCAUCUCUUUCUGCAAAUUGCACGUUAAUUAACCAUUAAUAACAGCGGGAGUUGCAUGCAGAAAUCCACACCCACAGUGACGGGGCUGUGCCCUGGCUGAGCUGCUUAUAGCUGCACUAUGGGGCCGGGUUGGCCUCGGCAGCUCCACAGGCACUGCUCCCCGUCCC
rnacentral:lncRNA from 1 species